CGGGAAUAGCUCAGUUGGUAGAGCACGACCUUGCCAAGGUCGGGGUCGCGAGUUCGAGUGUUUAA
rnacentral:tRNA from 1 species